rnacentral:lncRNA from 1 species
UUUUUUGUUUUCUUUAGGAGGAAAUUUCAUUUCUUCUCCAUAGAACAUCAGGCUACACUAACACCCAAACUUAAUCAGAGAAUCACAGAAUGGUUUGGGUUGGAAGGAAUCUGAAAGCUCGUAUAGUUCCAACCCCCUGCCAUGGGCAGGGACACGUUCUACUAGAGCAGGUUGCUCCAAGCUCUGUCCAACCUGGCCUUGAACACUGCCAGGGAUGGGGCAUCAAACUAGUCACUGCUAAUCUGGGAACUCACAGGUAAUUUUAUCUGUAACCGAAUGCAAAGAUAAACCAGCUUCAGCUGGAGCAGAACAUGGCUCCCUGCCUUCUCUGCUGCUUAAGCUGCUCUGAAAACAUCAAAGCCAUGAUCAGUGCUCUCCACUGAGUCUCAAUUAGUUUCUGAGGCCAGUUUAAGUCCUGGAUGUAUGUUUUAACAUGAAACAGAAAAAUCAAACUUGAUCUGCCUCAAGGCCUGAUCUGUAUCAGCAGACCUUCUCUGAGAAAGAUUUUCUACCCACUGUAUGACUUAUCUACUUGUAGCCCCAAAUCAUACCUGCUGCUCUUGGAAAAGGCCCCUGGAGAGGAAAAAUCCCAUUGUAACAGAAUUUCUUUUCAGGCAUUAAGGCACUAUCUGAUCAGUAGCCCCAGCGGUGUAAAACUGCCAUGCAAAUUUGUACUCACUGCAGUUACUCUUGAUUUUCUGCACCUGCAGAAAGAUGGGAAAGAAUUCAUAUUCUUGGGCUAGAUACUGUGUGGGGUAAAUUUACAUAGUUAAACUGGAAUCAAAGGAGCUACACUUAUUUAUAGGAGCUGAGGGUCUGCGGCAAAAUUUCAUACUCACAGAAAAGACUCAGGUCCUUUUUUGAUUUCCCAAUUUUGCCUGUGUGGAGGUUGUAAAUAUUUGAUAUUGGCAUUCUUGUUAGAAAGGGGGUUUUUUUCAGAUCUCCUUUUUAGAAAGAUCAAAUGAUGUUCCUCAAUAUAUUAUGCAUUUAAAUAGAAAAUUACUAUUUACCUAGAAGCUUACUUACGAGAUUGAAGUAAACUGGUUUCAUGUCCACAACUUUAACCUUGUAUUCUUUACACUCCAGCACAGCAAUGCUUUUGAUAGUCUCCGAUUAGUAAAACUUCCUAACUAUAUAUGCAUAUAUAAAUGUGAAAGUUACACUUGGAUCUGUAUUCUUGGUGCCUUAUUGCUUUCCUUUUUCAAUUCUGAAUAAACCAGGCUACAAAUCUGGGAUACUGUAGUUCAUUAUAGGGAAGAGGUAUCUGACAGUCUCCAUUUGAAGUGCCUUAAAAAUGUCAGCACCUGCUCUAGGUGUAAGAGCCUAAAUGCCUAGCUCAUAAACCCAGAAGAAAUAUGAAAACAUGUUUUCAUGUUUCCCUGAAAAGCAAUUUUUACAGCUGUGUGUUUGCAAGGAGCUCACAAAACCAGCAACACAUUUAUUUUUCAAAUGAAAUGUCCACAGCCUGUAGAAUAAUUUAGGCAGGUGCUAAUGAGGUGUACAGAAAGGCCAGGGAGGGUAAUUUAUACAUCCCCCUGCAACAGGAAAAAACCCUGAAUAAAUGUUAAUUGCUCAGAUUAUGCAACCAGUGAUUUUUAGCAUGGCACUAAAUUAGCUGCAAAUAUUAUAAUUACAAAGUACUGGGUAAUUUAGGAAAGAUUAAUUGAAAUGAUGAAGUGCAAACUGCUUAAUUUUGCAAGGUAGUAGUAAUACUUUCUGUACAGAAAUGAAAAGAACCCCAACCCCUAUGGCUGUUACUGGCUAUUUAAUGAAGUACAUUAUACUCCUCCUGAAAGCAUCAGUGCCCUUCUCUCAAAAGGGUAUAACAUGACUUUCAGGGGAGAAAAUCACUGUAGUGUUGAUAAUAACCAGGAUCUCUAAACCAAUUUUAAGGGCUGAACUUGAUCUCAGUGACAUAGGAGCAACACAAAAAUACUGCUUCAUGGUUUGUAUCUAGCAGCCUUUUCUGAAAGCUGCAGCAACAGUGGCUAUUUACUGACUAAAACUUAAGCAAUUGCACAUGCAGUUUGAAUGAAUUCACAAUAAUCAGUAAAAGGAGGCCCACUUUAAACAGUUGGAAAUAGCACUAUGCAGCAAUAGUUUUAAUUCACUUCCCUGCCUGUAGCGCACCAGCCUCCUGCAUGCAGACUUCAUAUUGUACUGUAUGGAGGUGAAAGGGAUGGUGAUGAAUCUGGAGAAGGGAGAGGGACUUGAAAAAUUGCACUGGUCCAGGAAGGGUUUCUCACCUACAAGUAUUCUCUAUUUUAAAUGCAGAUACUCUCCCAAGUGUUACCUAUUUAUUAAAAUCUCUUGAGCUGUAUUUAUUUUUUGGUGGCUUAAUAUGUAAUACAAUUCAAACAUAGUUAUUUAGAGAGUGACAGUGGAAACCAGAAGAGAAUUCAGUAUUAAGAGUAAUUCUGGAGUUAGACAAAGGGAAGAAAACAUUAUCGUGUUCUUUUUGACUAAUGUGUGUCGCAGCUAUCAGGACUGCAAGAUGUUUCACUUUUCAUUAACACACAUGCCAUAUGUCAUUACAAGAAGCACUGUGAGUAGUGAAAUGCUGUAACGAAAAUAAGUAUCUUGUGCUUUUGGCUAGUUGUAAAAUUAAGCACUUGUGAUGCUCAAUGUGCAGGAUGCAUGUUAGGGAAUGCCUCCUAUUUCUACAGUCCUGAAUUUACCCAUGUGCAGAGACAUGAGGAAAGCGUGUGUAUCAGUUAAUUCCCACUUAAAAAACGGGGAUACUCCUUAUCGAUUCUCAAUACAGGCUGAAACCCCUUUGACACCACGGUAGGUAUGACACUUUGACUGUAAAUUCAGCCAAACCUUAAAUUCUGUUUAAUGUGAAGAGUACAAUUCAGGAACAUAGGGACUCUCGAUUUUUGUCCUACUCGGUAUCUCACCUUAAUGUGUGUUUCAGCUCCUUUCACUUGAAGAGAUCUUGCUUAAACCUAAUCAUAUGCAAUAUUGAGUAAGAAUGGUUCAGUAAAUCUGGGCAAAAAGGCUCAUCUAAGAUUAAAAUGAAGUCUGUGCAGAACAUCCAUCAGGACAACAUUGAGAAGACCCAUGCAGGAUUAGAGUCAAAUUUAAAAUUAUGAUGCACAUUGCAGUCUUAGUAACAAAAGGAAAUAGGGAUAUAUUUAAUACAGAUCUGAUUUAAGAGAUGAAAGAGAUGUGAAUCUCAUAGCCAGAUACCCAUGCACAGAGCCUCUGAAGCCAGUGCAGCUGGACAUAAUUAUUUGUGUUGCCCUUAUCAAGCUCUGACAGAUAUUUGUACCUCAAAAGGUUCAUUACUGACUGAGAGAUCUGAAUCAUAAUUCCUUAUGCAAGACAAAGUACCUGGCACACUAGAAGACAGGGCAUAACACUGGCAAUAUGCAAGCCCGAAAAAACGUGCAAGGUUGCAAAUGAGAGGCUGGAUUCUGUAAAGCCCCUAAAUUGCAAACAAAAAAAGUGCAAUUCAUAGCAGGUGUCUGUGAAGAUGCCUGAAAAUGCAGCCUCUAGAUUCUGUGGUGCUCUUUGCCUGGCCUGCCUCCAUGGUUUUACAGCUCUCCAUUGGUUUGGAGAGGUGUAAAAGCCGCUUGAACAUUAGCUGAGAACACUCGGCUCAGAGCCUCAGAAGAGGCAGCUGGAGGUUGCCAUGCACUGGCACACUGCAGCCACACAUGUGUUUGUCCACCCAUGUUCAUCCCUGAUGCUUUCAUAGCCAGGAAGGGGACUAGUGACACAUGAACAUCUAUCUGGUGUAAGAUAGAGCCCAAAUAGCAGUGAAACACUCAGAACUGACAGUAUGCCUAUGGCAAUUUUGUCUUAUUUGGUAAGAAGCCUGCAUCACUACCAAGAGGAAAUUAUAGACUGAUUUUACUCACAAAUGUAUGACAGCAGUUACUUUCCAACGCUGGCAUUCACAAAUGCUGGCACAGCAAAAUAUGAGAAGAAAGUCAUAGCAAAAUAAUAAACAUUCAAAAAGCAAUGGCUAAAUACAAUUCAUAACUGUUAGGCAAAGCUACAGCAAUGCUCUUCGACCAGUACCUUAUUUUACACUGAGAUUACAUAGACAAGUUUAAAAGUAUUUUGAAUUUAGACUUGCCUCAUUACAUCGUAAUUACAGUGUCCUGGAUAACAAAGUAAGAGUUUGUAAAAUAAGUAUCCAAUUCAUCUGAAAAGAAAUACUUCCUUUAUCUGACACAGCCAGUUGGGUUUGCCUUUGCAGGUAUAUAUUUGUUGUUUGAUAGAAAGCACUUUUUUUUUUUUUUAAUAUAUGUAAAUGCAACCGAUCCUGAGGAAAAAAAAA